GACGAACGCUGGCGGCGUGCUUAACACAUGCAAGUCGAACGUGAUUUUUGUGGAAAUUCUUUCGGGAAUGGAAGUGAAAUGAAAGUGGCGAACGGGUGAGUAACACGUGAGCAACCUACCUUACACAGGGGGAUAGCCGUUGGAAACGACGAUUAAUACCGCAUGAGACCACAGAAUCGCAUGAUAUAGGGGUCAAAGAUUUAUCGGUGUAAGAAGGGCUCGCGUCUGAUUAGCUAGUUGGAAGGGUAAAGGCCUACCAAGGCGACGAUCAGUACCCGGU
rnacentral:rRNA from 1 species